GCGGAAAUAGCUCAGUGGUAGAGUAUUGCCUUGCCAAGGCAAAUGUCGAGGGUUCGAAUCCCUUUUUCCGCU
rnacentral:tRNA from 3 species